ACGCGAGGAACCUUACCAGGUCUUGACAUCCUCUGACACUCCUAGAGAUAGGACGUUCCCCUUCGGGGGACAGAGUGACAGGUGGUGCAUGGUUGUCGUCAGCUCGUGUCGUGAGAUGUUGGGUUAAGUCCCGCAACGAGCGCAACCCUUGAUCUUAGUUGCCAGCAUUCAGUUGGGCACUCUAAGGUGACUGCCGGUGACAAACCGGAGGAAGGUGGGGAUGACGUCAAAUCAUCAUGCCCCUUAUGACCUGGGCUACACACGUGCUACAAUGGAUGGUACAAAGGGCUGCAAGACCGCGAGGUUUAGCCAAUCCCAUAAAACCAUUCUCAGUUCGGAUUGCAGGCUGCAACUCGCCUGCAUGAAGCUGGAAUCGCUAGUAAUCGCGGAUCAGCAUGCCGCGGUGAAUACGUUCCCGGGCCUUGCACACACCGCCCGU
rnacentral:rRNA from 1 species